rnacentral:rRNA from 1 species
UACGUAGGGUGCAAGCGUUGCCCGGAAUUAUUGGGCGUAAAGAGCUCGUAGGCGGUUUGUCGCGUCUGCUGUGAAAACGCGAGGCUCAACCUCGCGCCUGCAGUGGGUACGGGCAGACUAGAGUGCGGUAGGGGAGAUUGGAAUUCCUGGUGUAGCGGUGGAAUGCGCAGAUAUCAGGAGGAACACCGAUGGCGAAGGCAGAUCUCUGGGCCGUAACUGACGCUGAGGAGCGAAAGCGUGGGGAGCGAACAGG